rnacentral:rRNA from 1 species
AGUGAACGCUGGCGGUAGGCCUAACACAUGCAAGUCGAACGGCAGCACAGUAAGAGCUUGCUCUUACGGGUGGCGAGUGGCGGACGGGUGAGGAAUACAUCGGAAUCUACUUUUUCGUGGGGGAUAACGUAGGGAAACUUACGCUAAUACCGCAUACGACCUACGGGUGAAAGCAGGGGAUCUUCGGACCUUGCGCGAGUGAAUGAGCCGAUGUCGGAUUAGCUAGUUGGCGGGGUAAAGGCCCACCAAGGCGACGAUCCGUAGCUGGUCUGAGAGGAUGAUCAGCCACACUGGAACUGAGACACGGUCCAGACUCCUACGGGAGGCAGCAGUGGGGAAUAUUGGACAAUGGGCGCAAGCCUGAUCCAGCCAUACCGCGUGGGUGAAGAAGGCCUUCGGGUUGUAAAGCCCUUUUGUUGGGAAAGAAAAGCAGCAGGUUAAUACCCCGCUGUUCCGACGGUACCCAAAGAAUAAGCACCGGCUAACUUCGUG